rnacentral:lncRNA from 1 species
GAGGUGCGCGCGCAGCGUGGGAGGAGGCCAACUCUCGGGGCGCUCCCUAGCCCUGGGUGGGUGGAGCGGGGGAAGCGGAGUACGUUGGACCCGGCUCCGCCCUACCCCACGGGGCCGCCUGGAGAGGUGCUGGGAGCUGGGUGGAGCUUAGAGGAAUUAAACUUUGGCCCUGCGCCUCGUCCAGCCUAGGUUCCACCCUUUUCUGGGAACUUUACACCCCGCCACUCCUGAGCACCGCACACCGGCUUCCUCCCAGUCCCUCAUCUGAGAACUCAUGAAGCCACUUGGAAUCCCUCUCUGCUUUGCCUGGCUCAUUCCAUGUCAAUUUCAGAUCUUCACUUCAGGUCAGCUCCAAGGAGGCUAUCCUUGCCCAUCUUCCUAAAAUAGAGCUCUCAAAACCUGGCUGUUUUCCUUCAGAGCACUGGCCUCCAAUUGCUCCGGUAGAUUGCAAAUGACCUGCUUUCUUUCUGUUCCCGGGCGUUUGGACCCCUGUCUUGGACCGCUGUCGGAUAGUAAAUCCCAAGUAAGGUACCUGCCGUCGGCAGAUUUGAGCUUUCUUCUUGGACACCUAAUACCCAGAGUCCUCCAGUAAAUCCCAAGCAAGGUACCUGCCGUCAGCAGAUUUGAGCUUUCUUCUUGGACACCUAAUACCCACAGUCCUCCAGGCUCCGGUAGAUUGUAAAUAACCUGCUUUCUUUCUGUUCCCGGGCUGCGUUCGGACCCCUGUCGGAUAGUAAAUCCCAAGCAAGGUACCUGCCGUCAGCAGAUUUGAGCUUUCUUCUUGGACACCUAAUACCCACAGUCCUCCAAGCUCCGGUAGAUUGCAAAUGACCUGCUUUCUUUCUGUUCCCGGGCUGCGUUCGGACCCCUGUCGGAUAGUAACUCCCAAGCUCCGGUAGAUUGCAAAUGACCUGCUUUCUUUCUGUUCCCGGGCUGCGUUCGGACCCCUGUCGGAGAGUAAAUCCGAAAAAAACAAACAAAGACAUGGAUUUACUGUGCAUAUUAGCAGAUCCAUACUGGAAAAUGCAUGGAGGUUUCAUAUACACCACUUACAGAUGCAGAAAGGCAGUGAACUCCUCCGGAGUAGCUGUCAGGUCACCAUUGAGGUCUGCAGCUUUGAAUCUUCUCUCAUCACGUGGCAGCAUCUUUUUAAAGGUGUGAUGAUCUGAAGAAUCAUGAAACUCUGCGGGGUUUCCUAGGUUUUCAGCUCCUCAGUAGUGACAAAGCCAUACCCAUCAUUGUCGAUUCGAUCAACAAUCUUCCCUAGCCUCUCCUUGCUCUCGUCCGGGGUGAGCUCGUCGAAGUUCUUGGAGUCCUCCUUGCCCAGGAAGGCCUCGUGGUCGUACUGGAAGCUCUGGUUGUCCUCAGGGGGCCGCUCGCCCAGCUCCGAGUCGGGCCGCACCACGCGCUCUUUGCGCACCGUGGGCUUGGCCCGCAGAACCCGCGGCGCCAGCACCAGCGCCAGCAGCAGCCCCAGGGCUAACCCCAGGCGGCCACCGCGCGCCAUCGUCCCGAGGAGAGGGCGGCCGGGAGGGAGACGCUGAGCGAGCGACAACAGCGGCAGCUCGGGAAUGGGGGCUCGGAGCGCGGCGGCCAAGUUUUAUGUUAUGUAUAUUUUACAAGUAAAAAAAUUUUUUCACCUCAGCCUGAACUGAACACUAGCUGACAGACGUUUUGAUUUCUUUGACCAUCACGGAAUCGUGGCCAAGCGCGGUGGCUCACAUCUGUAAUCCCAACACUUUGGGAGGUCAAGAUGGGCGGAUUGCUUGAAUCCAGGUGUUUGAGAU